UACGUAGGGGGCAAGCGUUGUCCGGAAUUAUUGGGCGUAAAGCGCGUGUAGGCGGUCCGGUAAGUCGGCUGUGAAAGUCCAGGGCUCAACCCUGGGAUGCCGGUCGAUACUGUCAGGCUAGAGUCCGGAAGAGGCGAGUGGAAUUCCUGGUGUAGCGGUGAAAUGCGCAGAUAUCAGGAGGAACACCUAUGGCGAAGGCAGCUCGCUGGGACGGUACUGACGCUGAGACGCGAAAGCGUGGGGAGCGAACAGG
rnacentral:rRNA from 1 species